rnacentral:lncRNA from 1 species
AUCCGUGAAACCAUCUUUAAAAAAUGACUCAGCUUUACACAUCUGCCAAAACCAGAGAGUGCAAAGCCAUCUUAAAAUAGUAUCAGUCAGAAGAACUUUCUGCUUCCCUUUUCUCUCCUGCCUCUAGUGCUCCAACAAAGAGGGGUCAGCAACAGCAGCUGAGAAUGUGAGAGGAGUGAACAAACAUGAAAGAAGCAGCUCACCACAUUGUGUUUUGCCAAGUCCGGUGGCCUGCCCACAGUUACGACCUAACUGCGGAAAGUAGUGAGUGUGUGUGUGUGUGGGAAUCCUGUUUUUAAUGAAAGCUGAAAUGUUGAUUAACAUCACUGUCUGGGCUUUGGAGUUUCAUCUUCUAGUCUGUGCAAUGUGAUUUAAAACAGCAAUUUAACUUUUUAUUUCCUAAGCAUGAGGAGGACAGUUAAAGGAGAGCCUAGGUUAUUUUCCAAGGACCUUGGAAGAGGUUUCUUUAUUAAAUAUAUUAAAUAUUAAAAUAUAUUAAAUAUAUUUUUCUGAGGGAGAAAGGAAAAUAAUUAUCUCUUAAGUUCUCUGAUUAGGCUCCCUCCCUAUUUGCCUCUGUGCACAAGCAGUUAAACAUGUGCAGUCACCUCUAUUCUAUUUUUUUUCACAGCCCUUUUUUUGUGUUUUAUUUUACUUUAUUUUAAAAAUUAUUUUUAAAAUUUAUAUAUGAAAGCAGAAUGCAUUACAAUUCUUAUUACACAUCUAGAGCACAAUUUUUCAUAUCUCUGGUUGUAUACAAAGUAUAUUCACACCAAUUCGUGUCUUCAUACAUGUACUUUGGAUAAUAAUGUCCAUCAUAUUCCACCAUCAUUGCUAACCCCAUGCCCCCUCCCCUUCCUCCUCUAUUCUUAAAAAAAAGAAAAAAAAAGAAAAAAAAGAAAGAAAGAAAGAAAAAAGAAUCCUCCUCAGAACUGGGUGUAGUGGUACAUGCUUGUAAUCCCAGCAAUUUGGGAGACUGAGGCAGAAGGAUUGCAAGUGAGAGGGCAGCCUCAGCAAUUUACUGGCCCUAAGCAACUUAGUGAGACCCUGUUUCAAAAUAAAAAAUAAAAAGAGCUGAGGAUGUGGUCCAGUGGUAAAGCACCCUGGGUUCAAUUCCCAGUAGCAACACCACCACCACCAUCAUCAUUAUCAAAUAUAAAACCUCUUCCUCUCCCAGUUCUGAUCUAGUUAUAUUGAUCUAGUCCCCCUGCCUUUUUUUUCUUUUGAGAGCAGAUUUUUUUUCCCCAUUUUUUUUAUCAGUGCAUUGUAAUUGUACAUAUUGAUGGGAUUUGUUGUUAUCCCGCCACUGAGAGUGGUUCAGGAAUCAAACCCAGGGUCUCUGGCAUUGUAGGCUUGUGACCUGCCACUGAGCUAUACCCCAGCCCUUCUUCCUCUUUAGGGUCAAAUUUACAGAAAAAUAAUUGGCUGUGUGUCAGAGGUCUGUCAGGUCAGUUCCAGAACACUGAAUUCCUGAUCUCAGCAGCAGGCACAUGAUUCUGACACCGCAAAACACAGUGGCCAAUAUCUAUGAACAGCAACUGGUCUAAGGAAUGCGCCUAUGGCACAUGCAGUGACAAUUAGAAUACUUACUUCAGAUUGCUACUCAGAGUUUGGAAGGACUGCUGUGAAACCCAGUUUCUGGUCCUAUUACCACAAUGAACACACUCUUGUAAGAUUUAUAAUUUCUAAUAUUUGUUACUAUAAACUACAUCAUACUACAACUUAGUGAGGCCCUUAGCAACUUAGUGAGACCCUAUGUGGAAAUAUAAAAUAGAAAGAACUGGGACUAUAUAGCUCAGUGAAAAAGCACCCCUGGGUUCAAUCCACAGUGAAAAAAAAACAAACAAACCCCAAAAACAAAAAAACAAAUCAAAAUCAAAUCAAGGGGUCUGGAUUGUUGCUCAGUAGUAGAGUGCUUGCCUAGCAGGCAUGAGGCACUGGGUUCGAUCUCCAAGCAAAACGUGAAAAUACAUAAAUAAAAUAAAGGUAUUAUAUUCAUCUACAACUAAAAAAUAUUAAAACAAACAAACAGAUUUAGCUAGACACAGUGGUUCAUGCCUGUAAUCCCAGAGACUUGGGAGAUAGAGGCCAGAGAAUCACAAGUUCAAGACCAGUCUCAGCAACUUAGUAAGACUGUGUCUCAAAAGCUAAAUAAAAAGAGCUGUGAUGUAUCUCAGAGAUAGAACGUCCCUGGGUUUGAUCCCCAAUACUAAAACAAAACAAAACAAAACAGCAGCAGCACUACCACCAAGGUUUAUUGAGAUAUAAUUCACAUGUAUCAUGUAGUUCACUUAUUUAAAGCCGUGUGACAUUCAAUGUGCUUUACUCUAUUCAUGGUUAUGCAAACAUCACUGCAAUAAAUUGUAAAACAUUUUUGUCACCCCCAAAAUGUAUUCCAUGCCUACUUGUAGUAAUUUCCCAUGCCACCUCCAGUCUCAUCUUUUUGUUAUUGAAUUUUAACUAUUCUUUAUCCAUUCUGAUUACUAGAUCUUUAUCAGGUAUAUAACCUACAAGUAUUUUUCUUACUCUGUAGGUUGUCUGUUCAUUUUCUUAAUAGUGUUCUUUGAUGCAUAAAUGAUAAUGAUGAUGAUGAUGAUUUUGCAGUGCUGGGGAUCGAACCCAAGGCCUCCCACAUGCUGGGCAAGCUAUCUACCACUAAGCUACAUCCCCAGCCUCAUGUUUUCUAUUUUGAUGGUAUAAUUUGUCAAAUUUUUCUUUGGUUGCCUGUGUUUUUAGUGUUGUAUAUGAGAAAUCAUCAAGCAAACCAAUCUGAAGAAAAAUUAAUAAAAAUCAAGGUAAAGAUUUUACUUCUAUAUUUUAUUCUAACAAUUUUAUAGCCUUUUAAGGUUUUACAUUUAUACCCAUGAUACAUUUCAUGUUAAGCUUUGUAAGUGAUGUGGGGUUGGUGUCUAUAUUCCUUCUAGUACCAAAUGGUCUCAGUACCAUUUGUAACUAUUUGUUAUUUUACUCAUUGAAUUUUACUCCAAAUCUCUUGACAAUCUGUUAAAAAGUCAGCUGACUAUAAAUGUAGGAAUAUUUUUGUAACGUCAAUUCAAGUGGGCUGUUCUGUAUGCCUGUCUUUGUUCCAUUAACCACACUGUCUUUAUUACCUUAGCUUUGCUGUACUAAGGACGAAUCCCAGAGGCUCCACUCACCCAUUGAGCUACAAUCCUAGUGCCCUCACCUUUUCUUUUAAGAUAGGGUCUCACUAAGAUGUCCAGGCUGGCUUCAAACUUGAGAUCCUCUUGUCUCAUCCCUCAGAGUAGCUGGGAUUACAGGUGUGUGCCACCAUUCCUGGCUUUUAUUACCUUAGUUUAUAGUAAAUUUCAAAAGCUGCAGGGAUGAACCUUCAAUUUUGUUCUUUUUUUUUUAAACUAAGACUGCUUGUUUAUUUUAGGUUACUUGAAUUUCCAUAUUACUUUUAAGAUCAGUUUGUCCUAAUGUCAUGUGUAGCUAAUAAAAAAAAUUUUAAAAAAGCAAUACAAAAAAAAAGAUCAGUUUGCCAAUUUCUAUAACAACUCCAGUUGAAAAUUUGAUAGGGAUUGUGUUGAAUCUAGAUUAAUUAGGGGAAUACUGCCACCCUAAUUAUACUGUCUUUCAAUCUAUGAACAUAAGAUGUGUUUCCAUUUACUUAGAUCAUCUUAAUCUCUUUCAAUAAUGUUUUAUAAUUUUCAGUAUCUGUGUUUUAGACUUUUCUUAUUAUAUUUACUCCUUAGUAUUUUACUCCUUUUUUAAAUAUUUAUUUUUUAAGUUGUGGUUGGACACAAUAUCUUUAUUUUAUUUAUUUUUACGCAGUGCUGAGCAUCGAACCCAUGGCCUUGUACUUACUAGGCGAGCGCUACCGCUGAGCUACAACCCCAGCCCAGUAUUUUAUUCCUUUUGAUGUAAUUAUAAAUGAAAUUGUCUUUAUCUUUGUUUCAGAUUAUUCAUUGCUAGGAUAUAGAUACAUAAUUAAAUGCACUUUUUACUUACUUUUCUUUUUUUUUUUUUUUUGGUAACAGAGGUUGAACCCAGGGGCAUUUUACCACUGAGCUACAUACCUAGCCCUUCGUACUAUUUUUUAUUUUUGAGACAGGGUCUUGUUAAAUUGCUGAGACUGGCCUGGAAUUUACAGUCCUCCUGCCUCAGCCUUCCAAGGAAUUGGGUGCCACUGUGCCCAUCCCAACUUACUAUAUUUUCAAUUUACAAUGAGUUUAUGGGGAUAUAUCCCCAUCCUAAGUUGAGAAGCAUCUGUAAUGAUCUUGUAUCUUGCAAUUGUGCUGAACUUAUUUGUUGGUACUUGUAGAUUUUUAGUGGAAUCCUUUGGAUUUUCUACAUACAAGAUUGUAUCAUCACUGGGUAUGGUGGCUCAUGUCUGUAAUUCCAGUGGCUGGGGAGGCUGGGGACGGAAGAUCCCAAAUUCAAAGCCAGCCUCAGCAAUUCAGCGAGGUCCUAAGCAACUUAACAAGACUCUGUCUCAAAAUCUCAAGAUAAAUAAAAAAGGGCUGGGGAUGUUACUUAGUGGUUGAGCACCCGUGAAUUCAAUCCCUGGUACAGAAAAAAGAUAAUAUCAAAUAGAGGUAGUUUUGCUUCUUUCUUCUCAAUCUGGAUAACUCUUAUUCCCCCCCCCCCUUUUUUUUUUUUGCCUAAUUGCCCUGAUCAGGCCUUUGGUUUGAUGUUGAAUGAAAGUGAUAAAAACAGAUAUACUAUCACUUUUUUUAUUUUUUGGUACUUAGUGCGUUUAACCACUGAGCCAUAUCCCCAGCCCUUUUUGUUUUUUUUUAUUUUGAGACAGGUUCUCACUAAAUUGCUGAGGGCCUCCCUAAAUUGCUGAGGCUGGCUUUGAAAUUGCAUCCUCCUGCCUUAGUCUCCUGAGUCAUUGGGAAUACCGGCAUACAAGACUGCACCCAGCUGUCACUCUCAAUCUUAGGGCAAAGUAUACAGUCUUUCACCAUCAAUUGUCAGCUGUGGGGAUUUUUGUAGAUGCCGUUUAUCUGACUGAAUAAGUUUCCUUCUGUACCUAAUUUGUUAAGUGAUUUUAUCAUGAAAGGGCAUUUGAUUUUGGCAAAUUUUUUCUGAAUCUCUUGAAAUAAUCAUGUGGACUUUAUUCUUUAUUCUUUAUUCAGUAUGUAAGUAUUUUGAAUUUGAUAUAUAACACUAAAUUAUCUUUAAAAAUUGUAACAAAUUAUAUUCUGAAGAGAAAUUAUAAAAUUUUUAUUUGCUCAUUACCAGCAAUGGUUAUUACUGAUCUCAUUUUUCUUUUAUGGUGCUGGAGAUUGAAUCCACAGCCUUAUGCAUGUAAUGCAAGCAGUCUACAAACUGAGCUAUAUCCCCAGCCCAGCAAUGGUUAUUAUUAAAUACUUCUUAAUUUAUCAGUUGAAAACUACUUAUUGUUUUACUUUUAACCACUGGACUACAUCCCCAGCAUUUUUUAUUUUUUAUUUUGAGACAGGGUCUCACUAAAUUGAUUAUGGCCUUGCUACAUUGCUAAGGCUGGCCUGGAACUUGCUAUCUUCCUACCUUAGCCUUCCGAGUUGCUGGGAUUAUAAGUGUAUUCCACUGCAUUCCUAUCAGAAAUGGAACUCAGGGGAGCUUAGUCACUAAGACACCCCUUUUUUAUUAUUUUAUUUUGAAACUGGGUUUCGCUAUGUGCUUAGGGCCUUGCUAAAUUGUUGAGGUUGGCUUUGAACUGGAGAUUCUCCUGCCUUAGGAUUACAGACAUGUGCCAAGGUGCACAGCUUAAUAUUUUUUUAUUUAUAGAUAUUCAUAAUUUUUUCUUGUUAAUUGCAUAAUUUCAUAAUUUCACUUUAACCUUGUUUGUAAUUUUUUGUUAAUUUGUAAAAAUUUUUAUAAAUUAUAGCUAUUUACUCCAUGCCAUUUAUGACAAUUACAGAUACUAUGUCAAAGAACAUAAAAAGGUAUUCUGGAGGCUGAGGCUAUAGCUCACUGGUAAAGUGCUUGCCUCGCAUGUGUGAGACAGACACUGGGUUGGAUCCUCAGCAUCACUUAAAAAUAAAUAAAGAUAUUGUGUGUCCAUCUACUACUAAAAACAUCUUUAAAAAAAUUUUAAAAACAGUAUUCUAGAGAAUACAAGAAAUCAUUCACUUUGCCUCACAUGGCGUCAAAAUUACUUUCUUCUUAAGAUCUUAGUUAAAAGUAUAUAAAACUCAGUAACUUCUUGUAUUUAGACCUUAAAAAAUGUCAGAUAUUUUCCAUAACAUCUUUGACACAUUUAAAAUUAUAUUCUCAGAUUCUACUGAUGCCUUUUUUUUGCUAAAGAACUGAUCAUAAAGGAACUAAAAAUUUCUGGGUGUUCAAACUGUCAUUAUGACUAUGCCUUAUAAUUUUCCAUGCUUGCUUUUGGUCGCUUUCAAUUAUAUGCUCACCUGUGUUUGCCUACUGAGCAGAACUGCCAUUUCUGGGAAUGUUUUGGUAGUUUGUGUCUCUCAAGGUUUUAAUAUUUCAUUAGAGUUGUAGAAUUUAGCAGCACAUACUUUGUAUGAUUUCCAUUCAUUUAAAUUUUUAAGUUUUGGCUUUUGAACCAGGAAAUAUGGCUAAUUUCAUCAACAUUUUGGGUGCACUAAGGAGAGUGUAUUUUAUUGCUGUUGGGUGGAUUGUUCUAUAAAUGACAAUUGGUCAAAUUGGUUACUACUGCUGGGUGUUGUGGUACAUGCCUACAAGCCCAGAAGCUCAAGAAGCUGAGGCAGGAGAAUCAUAAGUUCAAAGUCAGACUCAGCAAUUUAGGGAGGCCCCAAGCAACUUAGUGAGACCCUGUCUCAAAAAAUAGAAAGGGAUAGGUAUGUGGCUCAGUGAUUAAGUGUCCUGUUACCAAAAUUAAAUAAAUAAAUAGAUAGAUAAUUGGUUAAUACUAUUGCUCAAUCUUCUAUACCUUUGUUUGUUUUCGUAUUGGGGUUGAAUCCAGGAACACUUUACCAAUGAGCCACAUUCCCAACCCUUUUUAUUUUUGAUUUUGAAACAGGGUCUCACAAAGUUGCUCGUUUUGAAUUUUCAAUCCUUCUGCCUUAGCCUCCCAAACUAGGAUUGCAGUGUGUGUACCACCAUGCUAGCAUGUCUUCUAUAACUUUAUGGAUUUUAUCUCUUCUUCUAUCAAUUAUUGAGAGAGGGGAAUUGAAAUCUCUGACAUUAAUGGUUGACAUCUCUAGAUCUCCUUUAAGUUCAUUAAUUUUUGCUUCAUGUAUACUAAUGCACUAUUAUUAGAUAUGUAAAUGUUUAGGAUUAUUAUAUCCUCUUGAUGAAUUGACUCAUUUAUCAUUCUAAAAUUAUCCCCUCAAUCCCUGAAAACAUUCUUUGCUCUGAAAUCUGCUUGUCUUAUAUUAAUUAAAGUCUGUAUAGCUUUUUGUUGUUGUUGUUGUUUUCUGAUAUUGGGGAUUGAACCCAGAGGUGUUUUACCACUAAGCCAUAUCCCCAGCCCUUUAAAUUUUUUUUUUUUACACAAUACCUUUAAUUAAUUAAUUUUUAUGUGAUUCUGGGGAUCGAACCCAGUGCCUCAGCUGUGCUAGGCAAGUGCUCUACCACUGAGCCACAGCUUGUCACAACACCAGCUCCCCCCCUACCCCUUUUAAAUGGUGUUUUUAGAUUAUCUACAAUUGUUUUGAGUAUUGAAACAUUUGGGCUUAAAUAAAUCACAUUGCUCUUCAUUUUCUGUUUUUGCUAACUUUUUUUUUCUAGUUUACUUUUCCUAUUUUGGAUUAUUAAAUACUGUUAUUCAGUUUUGUCUCUCUUGUUGGUUUAUUAACUAUAAUUCUUUUUAUUUUUGGUAGUUUAUUUUUUUGCUUUGAGAUUUAUAAUACACAUCUUUAAUUUACCAUGGUCUAUCUUUUUUUUAUGUUCUAUCUUAAAGUGAUAUUAAAUCACUUUUCAUGCAGUAUAAUACCUUGUAACAUUAUACUCUCAUUUGUUUCCUUCCAGCUUUUGGGCUACACAUUUUACCUUUUUAUAUUUACAGGUCCCAGAAUAUGCUGUUCUGCUUUAGCCAGUUAGUUAUCAUUUAAAGACAUUUAAAAAACAAGAGAUAAUAACUGUAUAAUUACCCAUGCACUUACCAUUGCUGGUGCUUUUCUUUCCUUUGUGUAGAUAGAGAUUUCCAUCUGGUAUCAUUUUCUUUCUGAUUGAAGAAUUUCAUUUAACAUUUUAUAUAGUAAAGUUCUGUUUGCUAAUGAUAAAUUCUGUUAGCUUUUGUAUCUAUGAAAGAGUUUUUAUUUCCUUUCUUUUUUGGUAGGUGGGGAUGGGGUACCAGGGAUUGAACUCAGGAGCACUCAACCACUAAGCCACACUCCCAGUCCUUUUUUGUAUUUUAUCUAGAUUCAGGGUCUCACUGAGUUGCUUAGUGCCUGGCUUUUGCUGAGGCUGGCUUUGAGUUUGCAAUCUUCCUGUCUCAGCCUCCCAAGCCACUGGGAUUACAGGAGUGUGCCACCGCCCACCUGGCCCCUUCUUUUUUAAAUUAUUAUUUUUUUCCUGAGUAUAGAAUUGUAGGUCAAUAGCUUAUUCCUUAUAGUAUUUAAAAGAUAGUCCUACCCUGUCUUCCAGCUUGCAUUAUCUACAAUGAGAAAUCUAUAAUCUUUCCUCUCCUCCUCCUCCUCCUCCUUUUUUUUUUUUUUUUUGGUACUGGGGAUUGAAGCAAGGGACACCUUACCAUUGAGUUACAUCCCAAGAACUUUUCAUUAUUUAUUUUGAGACAGGGUCUCACUAAGUUGUUUAGUGCCUCCCUAAGUUGCUGAGAGUGGCUUCAAACGUGCAAUCCUCCUGCCUCAGCAUCUGAGUUGCUGGGAUCACCAACAUGCACCAUGGAACCCAGCAAAAAUUCUAUAAUCUUUUUUAAAAAUCUUAUCCCUCUGCAUAUAAUAUAUCUUUUUUCCUCAGCUUCUUUUAAAGUUUUUCUCUUUUAAAUGAUCUUAAGCAAUUUGUUUAUGAUAUGUCUUUCUAUUGUUUUUUUUCAUAUCACUUAUGCUCACGGUUCAGAUAUUUGGAUAUAUGGGUUUAUAGCACUUAUGAAAUUUGGAAAAAUAAUUCAGGUUUUAUUUCUUCUAAGUUUUUUUUUUUUUUUUUGCCAUCUCAUCUCUCCUUCCCUUUGUAGACCCUGAUCACUUGAAGCUCUUCUGUAGCUUACAAAUGUCCUAUUAUUCUGUUCUUCCCCACUUCUGUGUUUUAGUUUCUAUUUCUAGGCUAUUUCACUCAUUAAUCUUUUCUUCUGUGCUGUCUUGCUUUGGUUAAUUUCAUUCAGUAUAUUUUUUCACUUCAGAUAUAGUAGAUUUCAUACACAUUCAAUCUUUCCUUAAACUUGCUAAAUGUGAAAUAUAGUUAGAAUGCUGGAAAUACAGAUUUUAAUGUCUUUCUGUAGGAUUUCUCUCAUCUUUGAAAAUUUGGGGUAAUUUUCUAUUAAUUUUUCUUCUUAAUUAUGAGUCAUUAUUUUCCUUCUUGUCUGCGUGCUUGGUAAAUUUUCCCAGUAUGCCCAGCAGUGGAGUUUUAUCUUAUUGGGUACACGGAUUAUUUUGCCAUCCUUAUGAAAAUUCUUGAACUUUGCUCUGGGAUAUAGUUAAGUUACAUGGAAACAACUUGAUCCUCCUGGAUCAAAUUUGGUUAGGUGAUAUAAGAGUAGCAUUUGCUCUAGGACCAAUUUUACCCGACUUCUGAGGCAAGACUCUUCUGUGUACUCUUCCUUAUAAUUCAGAAAUUAUAAAGUUUGCCAGUUUGAGCCAUGAAAGCAGGAACUGUUUUUAGUCCUAUAUUAAAUCUGAUGCUUGCUUAUUGUACCUUUAAAUCUUUGACUGUUUUUUUUUUCUCUUGUUUCUAGUCAUUUCCUUACAUAUGCACUGAUAAACUUCCUGAGUUCAUUCAAUAGAGAUCUCUUCUGUCUGGUAAUCUGCAUUAUGAACUCUAGCUUGCUUUGUCCCUCAGAUUCUCAGCUCCAACUCUUCAAAUCCAGGAAACCACUUGGAUUCCUCUCCUUGUGCCACAGCCUGGAAACUCUUGCAGGCAUUAAAAUGGGCAGUUGUAAAAUUAGUUCACUUUGUUUUCUGCUUCUCAGAUAGUACUAUCCUUUUGUUACCUAAUGUCCAAUGUCUUUUAAACAAUCAUAUCUAGGGGCUGGGGAUAUAGCUCAUUUGGUAGAGUGCUUACCUUGUAUGCAUAAGGCCCUGGGUUCAAUCCCCAGCACCAAAAAAAAAAAAAAAAAGAUCAUAUCUAAAUAAAAGUCUUCUGGGCUUGGUGGCCCAUUCCUAUCAUCCCAGCUGUUUGGAAGGCUGAGACAGGAGGAUUUCAAAUUUGAGGCCAGUUGCAGCAAUUUAUCGAGAACUUGUCUCAAAACCAAAAAACAAAAACCAACCAACCAAAAACAAAAACAAGCCUAAAGGCUUGAAGAGACAACUUACAAUAUAGAAAAAAAAUAUUUGCAGUCCAUACGUGAAUAAGUGAUUAAUAUCCAAAAUAUAGAAGGAACUCAAACAGUUCAAUAGCCAAAAAACAAAUAAUCAAUAGCCAGAAAACAAAUAACCUGAUUUAAAAAUGGGUAAAGUACAUGAAUAGAUAUUUCUAAAAAAAUAUAUAUAUAAAACGUUGGCUGGGGUUGUGGCUUAGAGGCUGAGUGCUUGCCUAGCAUGUGUGAGGCAUUGGGUUUGAUUCUGAGUACCACACAUCAAUAAAUAAAAUAAAUGUCCAUUGACAACUAAAAAAAAUACAUAAAACAUCCAACAAAACUAUGUAAUGUUUUGAACAGCCAACAAUAAAAAAUUAAAAAAAAAAAAAAAACAUCCAACAAGUUGCUGGGCGUGAUGGCGCCCACCUGUAAUCCCAGUGACUCUGGAAGCUGAGGCAAGAGGAUGGCAAGUUCGAAGCCAAUCUUAGCAAUUUAGGGAGGCCAUGAGAAACUCAGUGAGCUUCGUCUCAAAAUAAAAUAUAAAGGGCUGGGGUUGUGGUCAGUGGUAUACAUAUAUAAAAGNAGAGAUAUCAGUGCUCCCAUGUAAGAUGUGGCACUACCCAAAACAGCCAAGUGUCUAUUAAAGUCCAAAUGCAUUAAAAACUAUGGUCUAUACAUACAAAGGAAUAUUCUUCUGCCUUGAGAAAAGAAGGAAAUCCUGACAUUUAUAAUAAUGUGAAUAGAUCUACAAGACAUUAUGUUAAGUGAAAUAAGCUAGGCAUAGAAAGACAAAUACUGCAUGAUAUUGCUUAGAUGUGAAAUAUAAAAAAGUCAGACUCGCAAAAAUAGCAUAAAAUGGUGGUUACCAGAGCGUGGUGAUGAGGGUGGGGGUGAAGAUGGAGAUGCAGGGGAAUGUAGGGGGGUAUUGUUGGUUGAAGGACAUAGAAUUUCAUUUAGGAGCAAUAAUUUUAAGAGAUCUAUUGUAAACCCCAGUGACUACAAUUAAUAACAUACCAUGUAUUUGAAAAUUGCUAAGAGUAGAUUUUAAAUAUUCUCAUCACAAAAAAAAGUAUGUGAGGUAAUGCAUAUACUAAAUAGUUCAAUAUAUUCAUUCUACAACGUAUACAUAUAUUAAAGCAUCAUGUUGUGCAUCAUGAAUAUGUAUAACUUUUACCAGUCAAUUAAAAAAUUAAUUUAAGCAAUUCAGUCAACAUUACCUAUUGAUCCUUGGUGGAAAACAGAAUUUGGAUAUAAUAUAAACAUGGCAGUUUUUAGCAUGUGAUGCAUGGCUUAGGAGAAAAGAUAUACUUUAGAUUUGGGGGAUUCCAGUUUAGAGUAAUAAAAGUUGGCUUAAAGUCUAUACUUUUUCUUACACUGUGAAUUUAAAGUUAUUAUUUUAAAUAGUGAAUAAGUAUACAACAUGUAAGUGCCCAGUGAAAAUUCUAAAAGUUUGAUACUUUUUUUGUGUGUGUGUGGCACUGCAGAUUGACCCCAGGGCCUCAUACAUGCUAGACAGGCACUCUACUGAGCUAUAUCCCUAGCCCUAAGAGUAGGAGACUUUUAAAGGUCAUUCAUCCAUUGACUGGAAUCUAGCCAGGUUUUAAACUUUUUGCCUUACAUUCUAGAUAAUUUAUUUGCAAAAUUAGGUAAAAUUUGGGAAUCUUAGGGAUAAUUCUUCUCAGAUGGCAUAUCUUGGCAAGGUUUAUGACAUUUUAUACCUAUUAUUCACUGACAUUAUGAUAUCUUGUGAGGUUUUAUUUUAGUAUUUAGUUUAAAGAAUAAGAUAAAGAGGCUAUGAUGAAUCUCAUGAAUAGCCUUUGCCUAGAAAACAAACACAGUGAUUGCUCUUUACACAUAACCUGAAAUCAAGAACAAUACCAGCAUCUAAAGGUACAGGAAUUUAAAUCACAAGUGCAUAAGGUUUGAAUCCUGAUACACCUGAACCAUGUUUUGUACUACCUCAGCUUUCAAAAAUCUGUAAUUUUUCUAUUGAAUUGGGAGUUAUUCAUUUUGAGGGUAAUAAAGAAAUUCCAAUUUGAACUUCCACGUUUAUCUUUUAAUUGGAAUUUUCCCAAAGCACAAAAGUAAAAAGUGUAAAAGUUGCUGUGUUUCAUUAGUUUCAUUCUUUUUGAAUGUUGCUACCCUGAAAGCUCUGUGUGAAAUUAUUAGAAGACAAGUUUUCAAAUGGUGGUAAAAGAAGAUGCAUAUGUGGGGACUCACUCAAAGGGCAUUAUUUAAAAAAGAAAUUUUGUAGCCACCCAGAUCUCAGGGUAGCUAUGUCCAUUCAAGGAUAGAGAAUCUGCCAUCCGUGUGAUUAUUUUUACAUCUGAACUUUUUUUUUAUACACCAGAGAGACUCAAAACUUUCAGGGUCAUUUGCCCAGCAUGUAGUGGAAUGUCCUGUGCAAUAGAUUCCAAUUAAUAUGACCAUGUUCAAUGGCCCUGUAUCACCAAUGAUGUAUAACUUCUUUCCACUUGGCUUUAUAUGGCACUUCUUUGUUGCAGCUGUAACCAGGUCUAUCGCCCCUUUGACAAAAAUUUCAGUUACCCCAGAGAGAAGCUUUCAAUUUUAUUAAGCAUUGAAGUCCACACAUUUGUUCUUUUUCAGAAGAGCAGAUCAAAAGCACUCUUUCUAAGGAAGUAAUCUGAUAAAUUAGGAUAGUACUGGUGGACUCUGGCAAUAAUGUUUUUUUCUGUAAUUGAAACCUAAGAGCUUGUAUAAACUGACUAGACUAUCAUGAACUUUUUAGCAUUUAACAAAAGUUUCUUUCAUUUUUUAAAAAAGUAAAUAGGGUUCCUUGAUUCUAUUUAACCAGUUCUUUAGCAUGCUGUGUCUUUUUGGUUGUGGUUAGGAAAACCUCAAUCUAGGUUUAGUGAUAGGGAACUGACAAUCAAGGAAAAAAGCAAUUAGAUCAUCAAGUUGUGGUAUAGAGAAAAGCCUGUGGUUUUUCAAUCCUAUCUUUCACAUUAAUUCACUGUAAAAACUGGAGCAAGAGACUCAAUUUUUUUCUGGGCCACAGUUUCCUCAUCUUUGAAAAGGAAGGAUUAAUUGUAUGGUAUGUAAAACUUCUGCUGAAUCAGAAAUUCUCAAAUUCUAAAUGCCAUACUUUGUGUUUACAUAUAGCCAUUUCUUUUUCCUUUGUGUCUCCUGCCUGCUACAAUUUCAGGUUUAGUUUGGCAAUGGAAUAAUAUGAUGUAGUACUGCUUCACAAAAGAGCCCAGACAGAGUCUCAUUUUUUUCCAUAGUCCCAAACUGCAAGAGUUUGGAAAAGACACCAGACAGGCUCUUCUUGAGAAAAUUCUCUCUCUCUCUCUCUCUCUCUCUCUCUCUCUCUCACACACACACACACACACGUUCACACAUAUCAGAUUUCUUCACAGCUGAUGAGACAAAUGUUGCCUUCUGUGUAUGUCUGAAUUUGAGUGCUACCCCCUGUUAUUAGCACCUUCAAAGGUUUAGAAUGAGAUCUUUAAAUUCCAGUUUGUGGUAUUUCAAUUCUUGGGAGGGGUAUCAUGAAUCAAAAUGCAUGCCACACACUGCCUGUAGACUAAAUAUAAUUACUUGUAGUGGUUUGUCAAUGGGUGCUUAAAAUAUCAGCAUUACAUGUAGAAGUCUUAAAAAUAUUUUAUCACUAAAUGGAAACUAUUUUGUAUAUGGAUUCUUUCUAAAUUUUAAGCUCUGAUGAUUGAGAUUUAGAGGGGAUCAUGUUCUUCAGAAACUAAACACCACCAAUAUGGGGGUGACAUUAUUAGAAAUAUUUUCUUAGGAAGUAGAAAUUUAGAAAUCAAGUUUCUAAUUUAGACCCUUGCCAAUCCAUUUCUGGUAUUAGGCAAUUCUCCAAACAUCUACAAAUGCUAGUUUGACACUGGAGAUUGAAUCCAGGGGCACUCUACCACUGAGCUAUAUCCCCAGACCUUUCUAAAAUUUUUAAAUUUUGAACUUGGGGUUCUCCUACCUCAGUCUCCAAAGCAGCUGGAAUUUUGGGUGUGUGCCAUCAUGCCCAACUCUGUGCUGAAUUUUUAAAGGUUAAUUGUAAUGUGGAAUCUGAAACUAUAUAAAUAUUUUUUUUCUACAGGAUUAUGCUAAAAUUCACUGAUAUUUUUCAAACUGAAUGGAUCUUUUACUCAUGCAUGAUUUUGUAAUAUCAUUCAUUUAUUGUUGAAAAAAAGUUGAUUCACUGACUUAGUUUGAUUUUUCUGAAUGCUGAUUCAUUUCAUUAUUACUAUACCAAGAGAUCUUUUUGUUAAAACCACCACCAAUCCUGUCAGGAAAACCUGUAAAUGUGAAGAAAAAAAGAAAAAAAAAAAAACCCAACAAAUUCAUGAUGACAGAUUAAAGUCUUCCAAAUAUGUUACUUUUAUCUUACAGGUUCAAAUUUUAUUUUAGGCAAGAAAUACCCUUUCUUUUUGUUUACCUAUAAAUAUCAAAAGGUCUGCCAAAUACUUGAUGUGAGAAUCCACAUUUGUUUACUGGUCUUUUUCUCAAGCAAAAAUAAUGUUCCGUGAAAACAGGUUGAUUCCGCCUCUAACUCAAUUGUGUCAGUUUUUUUUUUUUUUUAAUAUGUUUACUUUACAUUUCUGUGGUGCUGAGGAUUGAACCCAGUGCCUCAUGCAUGCUAGGCGAGCGCUCUACCACUGAGCCACCACCCCAGCCCCAGUUUUUUUUUUUUUUUUCCCAGAGACAACCAUGUUACUUCAAUAUGCAGCAAUAGUGUUUCAUGAACACUUUUCAUUUCAUUAUGCAGAAUGCUAAUAAGACAUGUACUCAAGGGUCUAGAUUUAUUAAAGUAAUAUUUUUAUUGCUUUUUUUUUCUUACUCUUUCUUUUUUUUGGCGGGGGCAGGGGGUGGGGUGUGGGGUGGAAUUGCAGAUUGAACUCAGGGAUGCUUUGCACCAAGCUACAUCCCCAGCCCUUUUUUAUUUUUUAUUUUGAGAUAAGAUCUCACUAAGUUGCUUAGGGCCUCACUAAAUUGCUGAGACUGACCUCAAACUUGCAUUCCUGUUGCUUCAGCCUCCCAGGUCACUGAAGUUAUAGGUGUGUGUGUCAAUGCUCCUGGCUAUAAAAGACAUUCUUGAAUGAAACUGGCAUUUUAGGGCUGGGGUUGUGACUCUGUGGUAGAGCGCUUGCCUGGCAUGUGCAGGGCCCUGGGUUCGAUUCUCAGCACCACAUAUAAAUAAAAUAACUACAACUAAAAAAUAAAUAUUUUUUAAAAAAGAAAGAAAGAAUGGCCUGUGUUCCCUGAGGAAAACCUCCACGUGGGACCCCCCAAGGCCCCUGCAAGGGAGGACCAUGGGGGUGGAACUGCCACCAGGGGGACAUCUGGGUGUCAAAAAAAAAAAAAAGAAACUGGCAUUUUCUUAUUGGUGUGCCUGUCUGAUGGUGAAGUAUGUGAUACUACCAAUGUAGUUUGAUAUCAGUCCUUGAAUCUUCCUAAGGACCACUCCUCCUGCCCAUUGAUUUUACACCAUUGGUAAUUAUUAACACAGUGAAGGAAAAAAACUAACAUCUUAAAUUUAUUAUAAAAAUAGCUUUGUUCUUGCAGACUUUUUACAGGGAGCUUGGAGACCCCAGGAGAAUGCAGAUUGCACUUUGAGAAUUUCUGGACUAGAGUUUAAGAUUGUAAUGGUUUGACUUCUCUCUUUUAGUGGUCAGAAGAACGGGUCAGCUUCUCACUGCUCUCUUUGCCACAGAGUUGUUUCAUCAGGAGUAAAGAAUUAUUGACACUGAGGUCCACUCAUUAGAAGAAGGACCUACUUAAUGACUGAGGCAAGAUGUGAAAGCAGAGGGAACUUGAACUAAUGUAGUUGGUACCAGUAAGCAGCACAUAACUGCUCUCUUCUAACUAUAUUUGACUCUUUCCCCAUGUGGGACAAUAAUAAACAGACCCUUAAGAAAUUCUUGGUAUUGUGAAUUGUGCUGCUAUGAACAUCGAUGUGGCAGUAUCCCUGUAGUAGGCUCUUUUAAGGUCUUCAGGGAAUAGUCCGAGAAGGGCAAUAGCUGGGUCAAAUGGUGGUUCCAUUCCCAGCUUUCCAAGAAAUCUCCAUACUGCUUUCCAAAUUGGCUGCACCAAUUUGCAGUCCCACCAGCAAUGUACAAGUGUACCCUUUUCCCCACAUCCUCGCCAGCACUUGUUGUUGUUUGACUUCAUAAUGGCUGCCAAUCUUACUGGAGUGAGAUGGUAUCUUAGGGUGGUUUUGAUUUGCAUUUCUCUGAUUGCUAGAGAUGGUGAGCAAAAAAAUUUAAAUUUUGAAUAUGAAAACUUCAUAAAAAAUUUUUAAAAGGAGGAGGAAAAAAACUGUUUUCAGCAAUUAGCAUAGUUGAUGUUUUUUUAUUUAUAUUGCCAUCUCCUCCACCAUGCCCAAACUAGAGAGUUUUUGGAAGUGAAUCCCAAACACCAUAUUAUACAUAUAUAUUUUUUAUGUUAUCUGUAAAACGAUUAUUUUAUUUUUUCAUUUUUUAAAGACACUUAAUAUUUUUACCAAAAUAUAGUGAAUUGCUUCAAAAUUGUGCUUUAUUUGCUGUUGAUUUCAAUUAGAACCCCAAGUGGCAAUGAUUGAUAAACUUUUGUUUCUCUUCAUCCUUCUCAUUCUGAAUCUUCCCUCCCCAAACAUUUUUGUUGAAGAAAGAGUCAUUCUCCUUGUAGUUUUUCUCAGUCCCCAGAGUUUCCUAUGAAGUGGUCCUUAGAGUUAAAGUCUUGGCUUUUUUUUUUUUUUUUUUUUUAGGUUAUUCUUUGACAAGAUUUCUGCAUGGGAAAUGUUGAGCAUUUUCAUCGGGAAGCACAGAGGUCUGGUUGUCCUCUCUUUAUUUGUGAUAUUAACAUCUGUUUAUGGCCAUUGUUUAGAGUAGGCCCAUCAUACCAUUAAUUGUUAUGAAAUGUUAAUAUUCUUUUUAUAACAGUUUCAUGUAUUAGCUGAAAUAUUUUUGUACAGAGACUCUGCUCACAAAUUUUGGUUACCUUCCAGUACCUACCACAUAGGAAAGACAAAAUACUCAGUUCUUUCACUUUAUCUGUCCCUAUCUUCUCACAGUUUAUCCUCUCUCCCUGUAUAUGGUCAUUUAAAAACUCUUUUGCUUUAGCUUUCCAUUAAAAAUAAUAAUAAUAAUAAACAUAAAAAAUGGUAACCAUAACAGUCCUUGAACUUGUUCUUUUCAUUUACUUGUAUAUCGUGGAGAUCACUUUUAUAGCAGUGUAUAAUAACAGCUUUAUUUCCUUUUAUAGUUUCCUAACACUUAAUUGAGUGGCUACAUCAUGCUAUUCAACCAGAACACUUUCUGACGGAUGUUUGCUUUGUUCCCAGGUGUGUGCUGAUCAGCGUUCCACAACCAGCUCUAUAUAAAGGAAAAAGUCCUGAUUUGGAGUAUUUGCAAAUUUCUGUGGUAUAAACAUUCCCACCAUGGCUGCUUUCAAGCUCCUACCAUGAUGCCCCUGAAGGUGAAGUUCGGGAGUGAUGUACAGUGGCACAUCCUUCAAAUACAAUACAUGUAGAUUACCUUACUAUGCGUAAUAAAGCCUAGUAAAUCAAUUAGGAAAUGAGGAAUUUUGAAUGCUUAUUACUUUUGCUUUUAAUAUUAUUUAAUUGUUAUAAGUUUAUGUAAUUUAAUUUCCAAUGCUGGCUGUAUUUUAACAAACAGCUUGCUAAAUUACUGACAGUUUCACGGCUGGUUCUCACAAGUGGAGAGAAGCCAGCUCUAGUAUUUUCACUUGGUUGCUAUUACAAAUAUUUCUGUGAUGAAUAGUUUUGUACAUGUGUCAGUUUUCAGUAAUUGCCAAUGUAUUGUUGGCCCAGAAUCUCAGAUGUGGAAUUAUUGAGUCAAAGGAUAAAUGUGAUACUGUGAAAUUAUUUUCUAGAAAAGCGGUAUCAUUUGGCAUUAUCACUAAACACAAGAGUGUUUCCCUGAAUCUUACUAUCAGAGCAUAUUCUUAAGAUUUUAGAUUCUUUUCCCCCAAAUAGGUGAGAAUUAUUAUCUCAUUAUAGAUCACAUCUACAUUUAUGUUAGUAUGAGUGAGGUUGAUCAUCUUUUUAUAUCUGGCAUGACUGAUAUCUUCUUUGCCCCCCAUUCCUCAUAUCUAGCUCAUUACCAAGGAUUUCUUUUUCUUUUUCAGUCUCAAUUGCUACCAUUCCAGGUGAUGCUACAAUCCUCUUAUCUGGAUUAAUAAUUAAUCUUCCUAUUUUUUUCUCCCUGCAUCCAAAAUUGUUGCCUUCCUUAAUUCAUUCUUUACAGAUCACUCAGUCCAAUUUUUCCAAGAAAAAUGGAAUCAUAUCAUUCACCUGCUCUAGAUGCUAAAGUAGUUUCCCAUCAUCCUUUAGAAUCCAAUUCUUCCUUAAUCUGACCUAUAGGCCUUGGCAGAGAACUUUGUCACAAAACACAUUUAACCAUAUAGGAAGCUUGGAAAUAUAGUGUAGAAAUGGAGGACAAAGAGAAUUUUCUUAUACUAGCACAGGUUAAAUAUGUAAUUAAUUAGACAAUGGUUAAGUUAGUUUACAGUUUAUUUGGGAAGAUGUCUUAAAACAGGUGAUAAACAUGAGCUGGUAGAGAGAAAGUAGAAGAAUGUAAAAGGAAGUAGCAAGAAUAUCUUGGCAAUAGGAAGCGAAUGGGAGAGGUUCAAGGUGCAGAAGGAACUACUAUGUGGAGUCUCUAAGAGGCUGAGAAAAACCACAGCUCUUUCCAAUUUUUGAGGUUUGCAGAAUGUUAUAAUUAAAAAAAUUCCAAAACAGGGCCGCAAAAUUUAUGGUGUAUUUCAAAGACAUCUGUUUGAUACUUGUAACAUCAAUUUGCAACAUAAUUCCAUCAUUCAGAAGAUGAUUACAGGAUUUACAAAAAGAUAUUAGUUUAUAACACACCACAGAAGAUGUGCUGUGGCAACAGAACCCAGGUUUUAAAGUUCUACGAUGUAUGUUUCUUUUCAGUAUUACUAGAGUGUCCUUAAGAUGGUGAAUCGUGUCCUCCUCUGGAUUUGCCAGGGUUCUUUGGAGAAACAGAACAAAUAGUGUGUGUGUGUGUGUGUGUAUGUGUGUGUUGUGGUGUUUAUGACUUAUUGAUUUUAGUAUUGGGAAUUGAACCCAGGGGUGCUUUACCCUGGAGCUACAUCUCAGUCAUUUUUAUUUUUUAUUUUGAGGCACGGUCUUACUUAGUUGUCUAGGAAAGCCUCGAACUUGUGAUCCUCCUUCGUGGGAUCACAGGUGUGUACCACUCCACCCGGUCUGUUUAUGAUUUUAUAUAAGUAAUUGGUUCAUGCAAUUACGUAGCUGUCCAAGUCCAAAAUUUGAAGUGUGGGCCAGCAGGCUGGAGACUCGAAGAAGUUGAUGGUGCAGAUAAAAUCUGAAGGCUGUCUCCUGGAGAACUCCCUCUUGCUAGGGAAUGUCAGUGUUUUGUUCCAUUAAAUGAUUGGAUGAGCCCCAAUCACGUUCUGGAGGGCAAUCUGCUUUAUGCAAAAUUUACUAAUUUAAGUGUUAAUCUCAUACUAAAACAAUCUUCAAGAUGAUACAUAAAAUUAACCUUCAUACCCCACAAUAAUGAUGUCUUGAAGUUCUGACCCUCAUCAUCUCAGAAUGUGAACCCACUCUGCUAACACCUUGAGUUGAGACUUAGGCACCAAAACUGUGAAACAAUAAGUUUCAAUGGUUUUUAACCACGCAGUUUGUGUUACUUGACCCAGCAGCCCAAGAAAACCAGUAUAGACUGUAUGUAUGACUUCAGUUGAAGAUAUUAAAAAAUCUAAGUUGGAGGCCCUUUAUUAUAAAGUUGAUGUUUAUAGGUCAAUUCACUAAAGGUCAGUUUUCUUUUUUUUUUCCUUUCUUUUUUUUAAUUUUAAUUUUUUAAUUUGUUUUAAUUAGUUACACAUGACAGUACAAUGAUCUUGACAUAUCAUACAUUUGAAUCAGAUGGGGUAUAAUUUCUCAUUUUUCUGGGUGUACAGGUUGCAGAAUCACAUUGGUCACAGCAAUAAUAAUGUCUAUUUUAUUCUGCUGUCCUUCCUUUCCCUCCUUUCCCUCCCCUCCCCUCCCCUCCCAACUAAAGGUCAGUUUUCUAAAAAACCUCUUAAGAACAGUUUAUCAAUAAUCAUCUCACCAGUGUCAGGGGCAAGAUUAAGUUUUUCAAAAUAGUUUUUAAUAGUUCACUAAACUGGCCUACAUCCAUCCCUUCAUGCUAGUAGCUGUACAAGUUAAAGUUCACAUCCUACAAAAUAAGCAUGAGAAUUUAUGGCCUUAGGUAGCUACAAUCCACAGCAGUGAUCAGGCCUCCAAUUAGCAGUAAAGCUAGUUGAAUUCAAGGAACCAUCAGUUAAUUCAAUCAGAGUUUUAGGAAGAAAGAUUCUGCCUUAUGUAGUGAGUUAAACAUUUCCCUUAAGAUUAAAGAAAUCCAUAUGACUUUAUUCAGAUCUAGAUUCCCAUGGAUGUUUUCAGUGGUGAAAGUCUGUGUCUUUUCUGCUGUUUGUUAGGGAACAAAACCUGACAAGGAAAGCUUGACACCAAGUUGGCUCACACUAGGUAAUAUAUAUAUAUUUUUUUCCUUGGUGCUGUUGAUUGAACCCAGGGGUGCUUAACCACUGAGCCACAUCCCAAGCCCCUUUUUAUUUUUUAUUUUGGGGUGGGGUCUCACUAAGUUGCUUAAGGCCUUGCAAAGUUGCUGAGGCUGGCCUUGAACUUUGAAUCCUCCUGCCUCAGCCUCAAGCAUAGUUGUUGGAGUUAUAGGCAUGCACCACUACACCCAGCCCACACUAGAUAUUUUUGAAAGAAUAACUCAGAACUCUUGGAGUCAGGCUGGAUUUCAACCCCAACUCUGCCAGUUUCUAACUGAUAGAGUCAUUGAAUCUGACUCUCAAUUUCUUCUUCAGUGAAAUGUGGGAGGAAAAAAUCUCCCAAGUUUUUCCUUCUUUCUAUUAGCUAUGCUAUUUGCAAGAAAUCUAUUCUACUUUGGUAAAUCAGAUAAAAGUUAAUGUGAUUUUUUAAAAAAAGGAAUAGUUUUUGUUUUGUUUAUCUUAUAGAGUUGUGCAGUCAACAUAAUGCCAGUGUGGUGACUCACACUUAGUUCUGCAGGACUAAGGCAGGAGGAUCACAAAUUUGAGGUCAGUCUCUGUAACUUAGUGAGGCCCUUUCUUAAACUAAAACUAAAACUAAAUACAUAAAUAAAAAGGACUGGGGAUGUAGCUCAGUGGUAAAGCGCUCUUGGGUUCUAAGUGCCCCCCCCCAAAAAAAAAAAUCAAUGUGAUAGUAAAUAAUAAUAUUGCUUGACAAAAUAUAUUAAUAUAUGGAUAUAACAAAUUUGUCUUGCUAGCAUCAUCAACAGCCUCAAAAUAAAUUUCUGGUUCAAUAUCGCAAAUAAGCAUGCUCUUUUUAAGCCCUUUAGGUAAGGAAAAUAAUUUUUGAAAUUUGUAACUAUGCUUAUUUAUAUUUUCAAGUUUAGGGUUGCUAAUUUAUUUAACUUAAAAGAUAACAUUUAUGCAAUAGAAGCAAAUACAGUUCUUUCCAACUUGGCAUAAAAGGUUCACAAACUGGCAUCUGUUGUUCAUAAAUGCAAAAAUAUCCUAAAAAACAAAAAUAUUUUGCAAGUAAUCUGUAGUAAAAUUUAAUUUCAACUGUUUAUAGUCAACCUAUUCCACUUAAUGUGAUUAUUUAUAAUGUCACUGCAAAAAUAUGUGAUUCUUUCUUCCCAUACAGAACUUAAGAAAGAUCAAAAAAGACAAAGCAAUUAAAGAGUAGUAUGAAGGAGAUAUUUAAGCUGCAUAUAUUUAAGAGCUGAAGUGAGUGUUAUUAGGCCAGGAAUGAAAUAACUGUAGACUUUAGUUUUUUACCUUCUAGAAAGGUGAAAACAAUUUUAUUGAAUGAUUGUGAGCUCAAAUUUAACAUGGUCCUUUUAACAGAGAAAGUACAGUUUCUGAAAUAAAACUCGAUUUUUCUUGAACAAAGGAGAGUAACCUUGAUUCUUCAGAACUUUUCUUUCAUCAAAGUUGAACCAUGGAAUAAUAAAGACUCUUGUGUCCUGGUGGCUCAUGACACAUUAUCAUUCCAUGAAUUGGCCUCGAAAAGUAUAGGAUCAUUGUCAGGCUUAAGAAAUAAAGAGUUCGAUUUUCAGGAGUCGGAUUGAACUUAGAAUAAGACUCAUAUAGGGUUCUUGACCUCAAUAUUUGCUCAGCCAUCUUUCAAGGCUCUGAUUUGUUCAAUCCCAUUUUUACAAGGCACAGUUUUCCAACCCUUGGUUACUGCCUGGUCCUGUCCGUUUCAGGCAAGGUCAAAGUACCCUGUGUGAAGGUUGUGAGUGCAGUCCUUGCUGCCAGUCUUCUCCAUGAUGUUUUUCUAUUUGCUUCAAAAAAAAAGGAAGAAAGAAAGAAAGAAAAAAUAUCCAUAUUUAAUUAAAACCUCAGACUACACAUGCAAAAGCUUGGGCACUUAUUUGAUAAUCUAAAACACCUUGAAUAUUAAUCCAUCUUCCCUGCCAUCCUUCAAAGGUCUUUUUAUAAUAUUAAACAAAGAAAUAUUUUUCUUCAGUAAAUACUAUACUGCUAGCAGAAGACAUGACCAAAAGCAUUUCCACUGACAAAUAUUCAUCAUAGGGUAGUGGUUAGGAGUAGGAAAAUUUGGGACUGGACUCAAAUUCCAGCUCUGCCACACUUUAAUAGUGUGGGGCAAAUAACUCAACCUCCUUUCUUUACUUUCUCUCUCUCUCUCUCUCUCUCUCCUUCCUUCCUUCCUUCCUUCCUUCCUUCCUUCCUUCCUUCCUUCCUUCCUUCCUUCCUUUUUCUUCUCUCUCUCUCUUCUUUUUUGGUAGCAGGGAUUAAACCCAGAGGCACUUAACUUCUGAGCCACAUCCUUAGCUGCUUUUUAUUUUUUAUUUUUGAGAGAGGGUCUUGCUAAAUUGCUGAACUUGUGAUCCUCCUGCCUCAGCCUCCUGAAUCACAGACUUGCCUCAACUUUCUUAUCUGUAAAAUGGAGGCAACAAUACAGUAGAUUAUUCUGGGUAACAAAUGUAAAACAUUUGGUAAGGUUCCUGCUGUUACAUAUAAGAACUCGAGAAACAUUUACUUUUUGCCAUUAUUUGAAGUGAAUGAACUUAUAACAUUUGAAAGCUUUUAUCUUGCAAAAUUUUCUCACACCAUGUAACCCUCUUCCAUGCUGUCUGCUUCAGUGGCCAACACACAUGUCAUGUUCUAGUGCCUCUACAGAUAAAUAUCUCUGGAAUCAUGGCCUUCAAAAUCACUAAGAAUGGUGGGGAAAUAUCAUGUUUAAUUUAUUCAAAUGUCCCUGGCCAGUAUGACUGUGACCCAGAGCUUAUCAUGACUGUAUCUUUUUGCCUUCUAGUUUAUUUUUUUUCUCAAUUAAAAAAAGUCCUAUUAAAUACAUUUUUGCUGAGUGUGAAGUUUCACUACUUCCAUAUUAGAGACUACUGGCAGGGCCUACCAGGCCACAAUCAUUUAGAAUCCUAUUCCAAUAUCAUAUCAGUGAGGAAUGACAGAAAUAAGGUUUACAGAUAUCCAAACUCUCAUGAGACUGAGCAUGUCAAUUUUCAAAAUAUGGAGUAUGGCUGGGUGCAGCAGUGCCCACCUAUGACCCUAGUGGCUUGGGAGGCUGAGACAGGAAGAUCACAAGUUCAAAGCCAGCAACUGAAUGAGGCCCUGAGCAACUCAGCAAGACCCUGUCUCUAAAUAAAAUAUGAAAAAGGGCUGGGGGUUGUGGCUCACCCCUGGGUUCAAUCUGGGACCAUAAAAUAAAGAAGUUAUGCUGUAUGAAAUUUAGACACACUCAGCUGUAUGCAUUAGACCACACAUUUAUUUCAUUUUUGAGAAUAUACACAGUAUUUGAAGUGAAAACUAAUUUCUGUAUUUCUCUUGUUGACUACCUACUAUAUCCUAGGCACUUGAAAUAGUUUUUAUUCAGGUACAACUGAAGUACAGUAAUCCUCAUUCUACAGGUCUGACAAACAUACACAAGUGUACCGCGACAAAAUCAUGGGACAGUUCCACUACCCCAGAACAUUGCUCCGCACCCCCAAAGUCAGCCCUAUCCCCUGCAAGACACUGAUCUGCUUCCUGACUCUACACCCCAGUCACUUUUCAUAGCCAUCAUCCCAGGUCACUUUAUCUAAAAUUCCUCUGAGUGGUAAUAUUACUCUUGUGGCAGAGACAGAGUUGGCUGAAUAUUUUUUGCCUUAGGUGAUAGCUAGUCUGUAACUUUUAGUCUUAUCAACACCAAGCCUUAUAACAAAGUGUUAGGAAAAAAAUAGCUACUAGCAAGUGACUUGUUUCCCAUUAAUGGAAGCUGAUUACUUUCUUAAAGGGAGAUUCCCCCCCCCCCCAUGACAUUGCUCCUUCUCAGAGUUUGACUUGUUAUUUUAUUUUUUGGCACUGGGGAUUGAACCCAGGGCACUUAACCAUUGAGCCACAUCCCCAGCCCUUUUUUAUUUUUGAUUUGGAGACAAGGUCUUGCCAAUUUGCUUAGAGUCUGGCUCAUUUGUGAGGCUGGCUUUGAACUUGCCAUUCUCCUGCCUCAGUCUUCUAAAUUGCUGGGAUUACAGGUGGGUGUCACUGCACCUGGCAGUAACACUACUUUGUUUUUUCCUGAAUAUGUCAGGAAUAUGCUUUCCUUCUGCUGUAAUACUCAAAUGAAGAUAGAGUAAUGAGACUAUAAAAUUAAUUUUAAAACUAGAAAAUGACCACUGAUUUUUAUUAAGAGCUUAUUUGUAUUCCAAAAUAAUCUAGAGGCAAUGUAUAAACCCUGUCCUUUAAAAAAAAAUUAUUUUUGAGUGCUACCCAGGAUUGAACCCAUGGGCGUUCUACCCCUGAGCUAUGUCCCCAGGCUGUUUUGUUUUCAGACAGGACCUAGUUAAUUUUCCAGGGCUGACUUUGAACUCACUAUUCUCCUUCCUCACCCUCCUGAGUAGCUGGGAUUUCAGGUGCAUGCCACCAUACAUGGUUCACCUCAGUCUUUGAUGGCACAAAUAGAGUGAAAACUAGCAAAACAUCCUUAAAUACCUGGCUCUAAUAAAAACCACCAAUCCACCAAUAACCAACUUGUUAGACUCCAUCCAAUGACAACAGAAUUUGUUGUGCUGAGACUACUAACCAAGAUAGUAUCUUGGGUCAUAAAAUAAAACUCAGCAAUUUCUUGGAAAUGGAAAUCAUACAAAGUAUGUUCUGUAAGUAUAACAGAAUUAAACCAAAAUAGCCCAGUAAUCUUGAAUUUUAUUUAUUUAUUUAUUUAGUUGUUGAUAAACCUUUAUUUUAUUUAUUUACAUACAGUGCUGAGAAUAGAACCCAGGGCCUCAUGCCAGGCCAUGUGCUACCACUGAGCCCCAGCCCCAGUCCCAAUCUUGAAUUUUAAAUGGUAAAGGUAGAGUUUGUAGGUAAGACCUUGGGCUCUGGAUUUGAAUAGAAAAGAAUUUGAAUUUUGGUUGUAUUUAUUUAUAUGUUUUGGAAGCUUGGACAAUUUAUUAGAUUUAUAGUUGUUUUAUUUUCUAAUUUGUAAAAUGGGCCUAAUAAUUAUCUAUGUCUUACACUAUUAUCAUAUUUACAUAAAGAGAGUAAAUUGCCUGGGAGAGUUUACCUCUCAUGUGUUCGAUGUACCUUGGCUAUUAUUAUGAGGUUCUGGAAGCCCACUUAAGGUAAGAUUGUUGAUAACAAAGGCAGGAACCCCUGUUUGGAUUUAAAAUAAGAGGAAUGGGGGCUGGGGAUGUGGCUCAAGCGGUAGCGUGCUUGCCUGGCAUGCAUGCGGCCCGGGUUUGACCCUCAUCACCACAUACAAACAAAGAUGUUGUAUCUGCCGAAAAACUAAUAAAUAAAUAAAUAAAAUAAGAGGAGUGUGACGGAUUCCUUGACAUCCAUCCAGCAUGAUGCAUUUUAACAUUUUACUAGAAUAUCACUCAUUUGUCAUUUGGAAAUAUUUACUGUAUGUGACCUGCAUCUUUAUUCACAUUCCGGAGCCCAAACUUUGCCUAGCAUUGGUGAACUGUGUUUUCUGGGGUUGAUUCAUACAGCCACCCUCUUUACCAUCUUCUUUUGACUGAUUAAUUUUGUUGAUAAAAUGGGAACCAUAAUAGAAAGAAUUCAUUCAUUUAAUAAAUGAUUACUUGGCACCUACUUUGUAGUGAGCACUAUCUUAGAUAAUGGGAAAACAAUGGCAGAAUGUAUUGUCUAAAGGGGAAGCAAAUACAACAAGAUUUUUUUUUUAUUUUUAGUUGUAGAUGGACACAAUAUCUUUUAUUUAUUUUUAUUUUUUAAUUUAUGUGCUGCUGAGGAUUGAACCCAGUGCCCCACGCAUGCGAGGCAAGCACCCUACUACUGAGCCACAACCCCAGCCCCAAAUACAACAAUUUAUUAUUUAUUUAUCUAUUUUUUAGGUAUCAGGGAUUGAACCCGGGGGCACUCAACAACUGAGCCACAUCCCCAGCUCUUUUUCGUAUUUUAUUUAGAGACAGGGUCUCACUGAGUUGCUUAGGGCCUCACUGUUGCUGAGGCUGGCUUUGAACCCAUGAGCCUCCUUUCUCAGCCUCCCGUGCCACUUGGAUUAUAGGCGUGUGCCACUGUGCCCAGCAAAUACAAUAAUUUAUAAUAAGCAAUUAGAAUAAAAAUAGUGAAUGCUAUGACCAUUGAAGUACAGUUUAAUAGACAAAGACACUUGAGUUCAGAUCCCCUUUGCAGUUGCUAUUCCUGUCCACUCUGUGUUAAGGGUAACGAAUAAGAGAUAUCAAAACUAUUGGCUGGGCUGGUGGAUGACAGGCAGGAUGGGAAAGGGGGGCACCCCGUAGUGUGUCCUUGUACAUUCAUGAUGGUGUCAUAGACCCAGAGAAGAUUAGAACACACUGUUAUAAGCUCACCUCUCAGAUCAUCUUUCAAAUUCAGAGAUGCCAAAAGAUCAAGAUUCCAAAAUUAGGAUCUUAUGGGUCUUUCCAAGUGAAUAUGCUUACCAGUUUUGCUAAUAAUGAUUUUAUGAGUAUUUGUCAAAAGCUGACCUGAGGGAAGGCCUAUGCUUGUGAAAAGUAGAAAAUAAUUUUAUUUAAAAGAAAAUGAUUUUUUAUAACUGAAGACGAUUGUUGUAAAUUGUGGCUUCUAAGAAUGUACAGGAAACAGGUGUCUUUUAAAGCUGUUUGAGACAGAGACAGAACUCAACAGAUGAAAUGGGGGUUAAAUAAAAUCUCAUCGUCAGCAGGUUUAAAAGUGGUUUCUAUAUUAAGGAGGGCAUAAGGAGCUAGAUGGAAAAGGUAUUUCAGUGACUAAAAUAACUGACUUUUUUGACCACUCUAGGGAGCAGAAAGACUUUAGUUUUGGAUCCUUGGGCACAUGAUUACAGAAAGACCAGAGAGUUAAAAUGAGCGUGAGUAUUAUUAUUGACUAUUCUGUCAGGCUUAGCAGCUUUCUGUAUGGGGGCAAUUAAAUGUAUUCAGAAGCUUGAAUCAGUCUCUCAAAAGAUUUCAAGUAGCAACGUGAAAUUCCUUCUUUAAGGUACAUCUCUAAAGCCAUAGGAGCCGUGGUCCAACCCCUUAAUGAGAGCAAAGCAAUUUUCCUAGGUUGGUAAUGUCUCACAAGUUUUGUAUGAUUGAAAAACAGAGAAUAAUUUGUCUGUAAAGCUCUAGGAAAAAUGAGAAGAUUCUCAAACAGAGAACUGAAGGACUUAAUCUGGUAUUAGAAUUCCAACCACCUGCUGUAGAAAGUUUUAUAAAGUAUGUAUGGGUAUAUUCUUUUCAUCUAUAUAAAAACUGGUAAGAUAGGUUAUUAUUUCUUUUUCUUUUUUCCUUUUCUUUCUCUUUAUCCUUACUGCCCCCCCCUUUCUUUCUUUCAUAGAUAAUCAGUCCAAAAGUCAGGGAAAUGAAGUGACUUACCCAAACUGCAAUUACUGCUAAGUGGCAGACUGAGUACACCUCCUUUUGGAUUCUUCAGCUUCACUGGAAUAGAACAUAAUUUGGAUAUGUAAAUAAUCUCUAUGAAAAUAUUGUUCAAAAGAUGCAAAAAUUUACCACAGGUUUCAGAGUUUCUGUUUUCAUGUAAAGAAGUAACUAAUGAUUUUAUGUUGAGUGUGAG